rnacentral:misc_RNA from 1 species
CCUCCUUUCUAAAGGAAAUCGAAACAAUUUUUUUCGAUUUAAAAAAUAGGUAAUGUGACCGUCCUCAUUUCUCUUCUUUUAAUGUCUCUAAGGUUAAUCAGGGCCGGUAGCUCAGUCGGUUAGAGCACACGCUUGAUAAGCGUGGGGUCGGAAGUUCGAGUCUUCCUCGGCCCACCAACAUACCAAAAUAUGGGGGAUUAGCUCAGCUGGGAGAGCGCCUGAUUUGCAUUCAGGAGGUCAGCGGUUCGAUCCCGCUAUCCUCCACCAAAAUUUUAGACAUUUAGCUUUUUUAAAUCGUAAAUAUUAAUAUCAAUUAUCUAUAUCCGAUUAUUUUCAAAUUUUUAUUUGAGAAUAAUCAAAAACAAAAAUUUAAUUUAUUACAGAAAAAUUUUUUUCUGUGCAUAAAUCAAGCGUUUAAGGGCGAUUGGCGGAUGCCUUGGCACUGUAAGACGAUAAAGGACGUGGUAUACUGCGAUAAGUUUCGGGGAGCCGUAUGCAGGUUUUGAUCCGAA